GCUAAGGCCCCUAAAUAAUUUCUAAGUGGGAAAGGAGGUGAGAAUGCUCAGACAACCAGAAGGUUUGCUUAGAAGCAGCCAUCCUUUAAAGAGUGCGUAAUAGCUCACUGGUUAAGCGUUUUUGCGCCGAAAAUGCUCGGGACUAAGAAAUUUGCCGAAGCUGUGGGAUACCAUAAGGUAUCGGUAGGGGAGCGUUCCGCUGUAGGGUGAAGUAUUUUCGAAAGAAUGUAUGGACGAAGCGGAAGUGAGAAUGUCGGUUUGAGUAACGAAAACAUUGGUGAGAAUCCAAUGCCCCGAAAACCUAAGGGUUCCUUCACUAGGUUCGUCCAUGGAGGGUUAGUCAGGACCUAAGGCGAGACCGAAAGGUGUAGUCGAUGGCAAGCAGGUCAAUAUUCCUGCACUUUUUGAUUUAUUCGUACCGAGGGACGAAGUAACUAUGCCGCAAAUUUGAUAUGGUUUGAUAAUUUGUGAAAUUUCAGAUAAGAAGAAAAACUUAUCUAAUAUAAUCGUUGGCAAAUACUUCCGAGAAAAGCUCGUACUACAUUAUGUGAAUCAAAAACCUGUACCCGAAACUGACACAAGUAGGUAGGUAGAGAAUACCAAGGGGAGCGAGAUAACUCUCU
rnacentral:rRNA from 1 species